GUGUUUGCUUCGGCAGCACAUGUACUAAAAUUGGAACAAUACAGAGAAGAUUAGUGUGGCCCCUGAGCAGGCAUGACACACAAAUUUGUGAAGUGCUUCAUAUUUUU